rnacentral:lncRNA from 1 species
AUGUUAAUAUCUUUUUUUUUUUUAACUUAUCUAGUUGAACAUGCCAUUGCUGUUUUUACUGCCCUACCGCUGCUCUUCCCAUCUGGGUCUGCAGCACCGAAGAAACAGGUCCCAAUCAGUGAGGCUCUUUUCCAUGUUCUGACGCCCUCAGAGGACCCGGAUACCUACAUCCACAGGCGUGCACUUUCCAGUCCUGUCUUGCUGGUUGGUGAGGAGAACUGCAUGGUGGUUGUAGGUACAACCCCAGUUCUAACAUUUGACAAAGACUUGCUCUAUGAGGGGCCUCUCUACCUCCUGGCCUAUUACUAUGCAUUUCAUCUCACAUAUCCAAAGUGUCUUGCAACACUCCUGUCUGUGUUGCAAACACAAGUUCUGAGAGAUGUCAUCCACGAGCAGGAUGAAACCCCCUCGUACAAAAAGGCCAUUCAUGAAUGGAGAAUGUUUGUUGACUAAUUGCUGUUUCAAACUGCUGUGGCUGAGAGACAGCUGCAUUUUUUUUUCGGCCAUUACAUUUGCACUUGAUUUGUGCUGUUAGGAGUUUUUCCCCAUUUUCAGGAGAUUAAAUGUAUCUAACAUACAGUAAUGCAGCACAGCAAAACCAAAAAAAGUAAUUGCUGUGUGUAACUUUACAGGACUGCUGAGGGUAUACAGUGUUGUUUUGUGCCAGAGUAUAUUUUUUGUUGUUAUUAUUAACGUUGGACUGUUCAUCCUGUUUUGCUGUACCUCAGUUGUUUAAGAGAAAUGAAAAUGUUCAUUUUUGAAUCUGCCAUGGAUUCAAGGCAUUGUUGACCCAAACUUCAAUUACUUCCUAAUCUUAUGUUGUUUCAAACCUGUUUUUUUUUUCUUUUGGCUACAGAAGAUAUUAUUUAGAAUGUUGGGAACUGUUGAUGGUAGCUAUUGACUUUCAUAGUAUUUUUUUUAUUUAUUUUGUAUAUUUUUCUAGCUAUGAAAGCUGGCGACAUUCUUCAAAGUGUCGUCUUCUGCAAAAAAAAAAAAAAAAACUCAUAAGGAUUUGAAGAACAUAAGGGUGAGCAUGAUAAUUAUUUGAUUUUUGGGUUGCUAUCAUGUUACGAAAUAAAUUGAUCCAGGCUGUUUGAAGCUUAAAUGCUGUUUGAGUUUGUGUAGACUGAGGCAAAGCAUUUUGCGUAGAAUACUUGCGGUUUCUGUGCCAGGUAUUUUAUUUAAUUUUAAAGUGUAAGCUUGUCUUUGCUUAUCCUGCCUUAUGCUCCAUUUGUUUAGAACUUUAAAGAAUGUUCUUUAAUAAAUGUUCAGCAAAGCUGGAAGUUGUUUCUUCACUUAAAGUGGGGGAAGGUGUGGGAGGUACUUUCUUUUAAGAGUUUUCAUCUCAUUUAGGUUUUGUGUGAUUUAAAAAAAAUCUAAAUAGGCUGGAUUUAAGGUAAACUAUUCUGCUUUCAAUGCAUUUUCCCCCUAAAAUUAUUAUUGUCGUGCUUCAAAAAAGAGAAAACUGCUCAAUUUUAAGCUUGUUUGUCUAGUUUUAAGAACUAACUGUAGAUUUACUGACUAGAUUUAAGUUCAAAUAUUCUAGUUUUAAUGCAAUUUGUUCUAGAAUUAUUCAUGUUCAGUG